rnacentral:lncRNA from 1 species
UAAAAAUAUCUACUAAAAUACUGAAAUGUCUAAAGAUAGGUCCUCAAACCAUGAGGACUCACCACUGUGGAGAUGUAGAUAAAGGUACUCGGAAAUCACUGACGGAGCUGGGACUGAGCACCUGAACCUACAUUAUGAGGAAAUGUAGCACAUAAACGAGCAUGUGGAUCAGUACUUAAGAAUGUACUGAGUAUAUGGGGGUGUAUGCAAUUAAAUAAUAGGUAUCACAAAUCUUUAUAGAAAACAUGCAUUCCAUUAUAGAUGACUCACUUAUCUUGAAUAAAAUCAUCAUAAUCAUGGAUAAGGAAAACAUGUAAGGUAAAUCACGUGAGUCAUUACACUUUAUUCUCAAUCUGCAUUCUUUCUUUAUUCUCAAACUUGUAGAAUAGCGAAAAGUCUUAAAACAACAACUAUCAAAACAUACACUUUAAAUCUUAUGAAAACAAGGAACCUCUUUGGGACUUAAAGAUUAUAACACUUGAGAACCUUAGAAAUCUUAGCUUUUGAAAUACAUAAACUUUUACCUUAAAUAAAGUGGAGGGCUACUUUGGAAACUUGGGAGACUUUGGGAGUUUCUUCUAACCGACAUAAAUCAUGUGAGCUUACAUGGAAUCCAACGUCUUGCCCACGUUGGGGAGAGCUGUUCUAUCCUUGCCAUCGGAAUAGAACUUUUAACUUUUAGUGAUCACUAGCUUAACCCACUUGGGGUAAAUCAGAAACCUACAGGGGCACGUAGUUCUGGGGCAUGAGACCUUGGAAUCAAGCCCAACUCGGUGCUAAAUACUACUCCCUUACUUAAGCUCAGAACUUUUAAGAAAAUUCACCUUAAACAACUCAAAAGUAUGUAAUGGAAGCCAAUUAUUCUUUCCUUCAACUUAAAUCAAAGUGGUGUGGAUUUCUUUCUUGGCCUAGGAUCAAAAAUCAAUUCUUUUCUUGAAAUCUUGAUAGACUUAUCAUCAAUAAACUUUAAAAACUCAAUAACAUGGAGAUAUAAGUACACUUCUUGAAACACUUUAGAGGAUAGCAAUAAUUCAUUCUUAAGGAAUCACAAUUUCACAAUAAGUUUCAAUUCAUGACAAAAAUCUUGGGAAUUCUUGAAAAUAGGAUAUCAAUAUAGGAAUGUGCAAUUUAUCACAUGAAUUAUCAAUUCAAAUCAUACUUGACCAAGAAAAUCAUACAAUUCAAGGCUUGAACGAGUUAUAAUAUUAUAAAUUUGAAAUAUAGCAAACUAAACAUGAAUUCAUCUUGAAAAUACGAAAUUCUUUAAGAAAACUAAAACUUUUGGGCACAAGAACAAAAGAAGUGUUCUUAUUCAAACCCCACAUACCUUGAAAUUGAAGUUCUAAGUGAACUUUAGCUUUUGGGACUCUAUUCUUGGAAUUGAAGGGUGCUUUUUGUAGCUCUCGGAAAGGAGAUUCCAAAUCUUGAAGAAUUUUCGAGAAGCUACGACUGAAUUUAGAGUUCUCUUGAAUUCUUUGUAGAAACCCUAAGCUAUGUUCUUGGUGAUUUUUGAUGUAAGUGAAGGUAUUUUGGUGUUUUAGGGAUUAAAUCCCGUAUUAGAGUUGACAAAGGAAUGGAAGAUACCAAGAUUACCCUUAAUGAAACGGAUAAGAAGCUGAAAAUUUGUACCAGACGGACUUAGCAAGGCGCCGCCCUACCUAGUCCACCGGACUUAGUAGGGCGCCGCGUCGCCUAGUCCGCCGGACUAAGCAAGACGUCGCCUCGCCUACUCCACCGCCAUAUCCACGGCGACGCGGGCCUAUCGCCUUUAGCUAUUGUUUUACCAACCCAAACACGACCUUAAGCUCAUUUAAAAAUUUCGAAACUCACCCGAGAUGUACUCUUAAUUUGCUCGAUCGCACAAUAAAAAAAUCAAGAAACGAAGGUCAGGAAGGUCGCGGAAUAAUUCAACAAAGUUCGAAGGUUGAAAAAUAAACUAAGUGUUGAACACUUAACUAAAAUUCUAAGUGUUAAGCUUCUUUUGACUCAGUUUGAAGGCUUUAACGACGAGGAAACUUUGCGGGAUCUUACAGGAUUGUAUCAUCAAAUAUAGCUCCUCUUGUGUGUCAUACUAUCAUCCAAACACAUACUUUCUUUCAUAGGAUGAUCAAGUCUUGGAUCUUUAGGUGUCUUCCUUGAAGUGUAGAUCUCAAAAUAUUAGAUCAAAUUUGGCAUGUAUCAUCCUCCCAUUCUUGCAAAAGAUUCAACCUUGAAUCCAAAUCUUUUAUCGACUUGUCAUCACACUUUUCAAGUUUGGAAUCCUCGAGUAAGAACUCUGUUAGGCCUUUAAACUUAUUUUCAUAAGACACUCUUAUUGCAUCCUCAUUUAGACAUAUUUGGUCUUGAACCUGCACAAGAAAAGAGUGAUCCUAGGUAAAAUUCUAUUGUCGUGGUUAGUGGCUAAUAAAGGCCUAAUGUUGGAAGUGUCUUUACUAAAUUGGUUUGGUGUGGUCGAACAAGAGUUUGUGGAACUUGUUUUAUAUUUGGUAGUCUUGAGGGAGUUUGGGCAUGGGGUCGAGGUUUAAAAUAAGAGGCUUUUAAAUGGUUCCAAUAUUUUCUUCUAAUCCAUACUUUCCAUUCUACCAUUCAUGCUGGACAACUUAUCAUUUAUGUGUGACAAUCUUCCAGUCAUUUGCUUCACACCUUGUCGUAUUUCUAGGAAUGCCUCUAAGAUGAUAUCAAGGGUUGCUCCACCCAUUGUCUUUAGUACACUUGAUUGAAGGGAUGAAGAAAAUACAUAUGACUAGAUUAAGAAUAAAAAGACUUGACUCAAAGAAGUUAUCUAAGAAACAAAUGACAAAAGCACACAAAGAAAAGGACAAGAAAGAAAAUAGGCUCAAGAACUAAUUACCCAACUAAGUAGAUCAAAUACUAGUUGUUAAUUAGUUAGGAAUAAAGAAAUGACUUUAGGAAUAAAGAAUUGGAACUAAGAAAUUAAAACCUGAGCAAAACUGAAACAAGGAUUGUUGAGAUGCACUUUACUGAGAUGUACAAACAAAAACCAUAUAAAUACAAACAUAAAAAUAAUUAACUAAAGUGAGGGUUAUUUUUGUAAACAAACAAUAUAUUUUUACAAACAAUGCACUAUAUAUUAUUUUUAGUACCACAAAUCAAAUAACCACUAAAAAAUAAUACAAGCAUAACUUACCCUGGCACAAUUAAUUUCAGCAUAACUUAUCCCAACAUAACUAAUUCCGGUAUAACUUAUUUUCAAACCAAACGAGCCGUUAUUGUAAUGCAUUAUCGCCAAAGUGUAUGCCCAUUUUGUUAGGGACCAUUUAACUAAGUUAUUAAAGCAUCUAGUGUUGAAUAUCACUUUAAAAGUUAAAAUCAAUUAUUAAUGAUAUUUAUAUGUUUUUAUUUUUAGUGUUAAAGUUGAAUAACUUGUUUUGCGAAAAGUGAUAAUAAACACAUUUUUAAGUGGCCAAGAUGCCAUCAAAGUUGUUUGUAAAAAUGAAUUACUCAAUUUAGAAGAAUCUUAUAUCUUGAGAAGAAAAUGACAAAAAAUGUCCCUUAUUUUUGGUAAUAGGCUUAAAAUAUUUCUUUAAAUAUUAUCUGAGCAUUUUGAUUUUCAAAAUUAGUCAAAUAUAAUACUUUUGGUCUCUGUCAUAAUUAUCGAACUCUAAAUGUUAAACUUAAUAAGAAUUGAGAAUUUCUUUGAAAACCAUAAGCACCAAAAAUUUCCAUCAGAAUUACUAAAUUGCAAUAUAAAAAGUUAAACCAAACCCAAAAGAAUGGACCAAAAAAAAUAUUUUUGUACCUUAAAACUUGCACUAAACUCUUAAAAUAGAUAAAAAGUAAUAUAAACUGUUAUACUUUCAAAUGUGAGUUUUUGUUAAAUAUUUUUUUUAUUUUCAUAUUUUCGAUAAAUUUAACUAUAAGUAUUCGAUAAAUAUCCGACGAAGAUCAAAAUUAUUCACUUUUAACAAGUUUAAAAAUAAAAAUUGCUCGAGCAGUUCGUGAGAGACUAUUUUAAACCUAUAACAGAUACUAUUUUUGUCGUUUUCUCCAAUCUUGGUAUAAAAAGGGAUGAAAGAUUAAAAUGAAACAUAAUGAGAGAUAUUAGGAAUUUUGUUAUGUGGAAUGUCUUUUAAAAAUUAAAAGGUUUUAUUUUAUUUUAUUUUUUUAUGAAAUGUGUCAUAACUCCUGGCUUUUACAUUUUGUCCUAAGCUACGACAGGACCACCACUUCAAUAAUGUGAAUAUACAUGCUUAAAUUCAAAUUUAUAAUUUCAUAUGUGAGUAAAUGUACAAUAAUGUGAAUAUACAUGCUUAAAUUCAAACAUAUAAUUCCAUAUGUGAGUAAAUGUACAAUAAUGUGAAUAUACAUGCCUAAAUUCAAACGUAUAAUUUCAUAUGUGAGUAUAUGUAGAAAGACCAAAUAAGAAUGGGAUGAUGUGAUAAUUAACUUGAAUAAUCCAAAUCGUUUGAUUUGCAGAUAAAUUUAUCUCCAAAUUAUAAUUCUGAGAUUGUAACUUUAAAAUUAAUUUAUUUAUCUUCUAAAACAUGAUAUAAAUUUAAUCAUAAGGUAUCUCAUCAUAUCUCAUCUUAUCCAUAAACCAAACGAUCUCUAACAGCUCCAUCAGUCCAAGUGUCUACAUUUUACUAGUCAUCAUCACAUUGAAGAUAUAUCUCCUUACACCUGGUUACUAUAGUACUUUCCUUGUUCUGGAGCUCACGUUUAAGAUUUCAGCCUUUAAAUUUAGAUAUUAAAUUUAUAAUUUUUUAAAUAAGAUUAAUUGUCUCCUUCUCAAUCUGUACGACUUAAUAUUGUGGAACCUACUUAUCCUUUUUUUCUAAUUAAAAACUUAAGAGGGUGUUUGAGCUCAUUUUUCUCCCUUUGUUAAUGGAUAAAGUUGAAAAAGUUUCUAUUUUUCCUCUUUAUAGUCAUAUUUACUUAGCACGUGAGACACAGUCUGUGUUUGGGACUCCAAAAAAUAUUUACGACAAAAUGUUUUUAAAUUUGUCCAUAUCGUUUGGUUGGUGAGAGCAAAAUAAAUCCACAAAAUGACUUUACUUAUGAAAAUAAGAAAAAUAAGUUGCACAAAUAAUAUUUUAAAUUUAUUGUCUCAUCCCCACCCAUCCAAAACCCCCAACCCCUGACCAUCCCAAUCCUGCCACCCCCAAACCUCCACUCCCAUCCCAUCCCGCCUCCAUAAUGAUUUGCUAGAUAACAUAUAACUGCUCGUAAGAUAAUAUUUUCUUGCUUAACCAAACACUAAAAAAAAAAAAAAAAAAAAGAGUAAAGACCUACUUAUUUUCCAAGAAAACUAGCACUUUCUAGGAAAUCAUUUUCCAUGGAAAUUUUCUUUCCUACUAAAUGCACGCAUAGUAAAAAAAAAAUCAUUGCUAUGAUAGUUGUGAUGUUGACAUUAAAAUAUGACACACUAUAGUUGUGAUGUUGACAUAAAAAUAUCACACACUUGCAAAUAUAUAAACAUGCUUAUUCUAGCCUCCCUCUAGCAAUCAACUGCACAUAUUCAUAAAACAACAACUACACAAGAAAAAUAUCAACAAAUUAAAAUGAUACCUAUAAUGAGCUCUGCUCCUCUAUCAACUGCUACACCAAUAUCUCUCCCCGUACGUAAAAUUCCAGGGAGCUACGGGUUUCCAUUAUUAGGGCCACUUUGGGAUCGAUUAGACUAUAACUGGUUCCAAAAGCUCCCAGAUUUCUUCAGC